CCCAAAAGGAAGAAAUAAUGAACUUAUGGGAUACGAGCUACCCUCUUCGACGUUUCCAGUCCGUCACAGGGAAAUUAGCGUUCGAAGAAUGGGAUGUCUUAACUCACUAUGCAGAUGUGCACGAAUUAAUAACUGUGGACUUCAAACGAAUUCAUCUCAAUUAUGUAAGCAUUGAGGACCGAGCUCUUGCUUUCGUUCGUCGAUUCAAUAAAGUAUUCGUGGAUUAUAAGAGAUUUAUUGUCGAAGACUCGGAGCUAUUAAAUAGUUUGACUUGGAUUUUUGGAGAAAAUUUUCAACUUACAGAGACGUCCAUGUUUCUAUCGUUUUACGCAUUACCCUUUAAUAAUCCGUCAGCAUUUUAUCAAAAAAGGAAGGAAACGCACAAAGUCAUCACUUUUGCAAAGUAGACAGGCCUUUAUUUCUAUACUGGCGACAGAGGCCACGUUAGAGGAGACCAUUGCUUCGCGACGACUUGAAGCUCGAAAUUUGGGGAAAAAUGUACAGCCAUUCAUAGUGGCUUUCGGCACGAUGCCAAACAUUAAAAAAAAAAGUUUGUCGUAAUCCUGGAUAGCAUAAAGUUUAUAUGUAACAAUAUUAUAUCUGCCAUUGACCUUUUGUUUAAGCUUCAUUCAGUCUUUCAUCUGCAAUACGCAGAAGAAUGCGAAAAUGUAUUGAAGUUUAUACAGUUUUAUUUUUAUAAGAUAUCAUAUAGUGGAGAUCGUUUCGAU